UUGCAAAAGCAAAUAUUAGCGUGACCAAGGCGGACGGCCCGUGGCGCUGCCCUCGCUGGCCCUAAACGAGCAGGGGCCGUCGGGUGACACCGCGGCUCGUAAGGGCACCGACGCGCGCCAGCCACGAUACGCCGGCGGCGGCGUGGGGGUGCCGCGUGGGAACAGGGAUCUUGGGGCCUUUAUUGCCUGCUCAGGUGCAAUCCUCUCUAAUUUCUGCACGGCCACGUUUAUCCCCGGGUGCCAACAGCGCUCCAUCCCGCCGGCGCAAGGCGGGGAGGGACGGCUGCUCGCACGGGGCGCGAGACAUCAGCACGAACAGACAGCCAAAGAGAGCACGGCGGUUGCCAACAGUCGUCUCUUUUAUUAUUCUUGCCGCGCUGCCUCGCGAUACUGGCACUACCACGCCGCCAGCGGGUUACCGGCGCGACUGACGGCAGCGCGCGCUCCUGUCUGCCGCUACGCAAACUCCCGCUAGUUCAAAACUCCCCAUUGUCCGGGCCUGGCUACAAAAAUGGGAUAGAAAAUGAAAGGAUGAACUUUGAAUCAAAUGGUAUUAAAUGCAGCAAACUGAUCAUUUAUUUUCCUGUGCUAUGAAUGCUUUUGCCUGACGUCAAAGUGAAAUACAGAUGUUAAACUUUCACAGUGUAUUAUGGAAUCAGUCACAGAAAGAAAACAGUGGUGACUUCCUAUUGUGUGAAGAGACGUGUCUUGGGUGAGGGAGGAACAAAAACACAAGUGACCUUUCGGCUUGUUAAGUAAACUCUCCACCUCAGUUUAUAAGUGCAUCAUGGAUUCAAAUUCAUCAAUUCUUUGUUUGGUGUUUCCUUUUCUGAUUUUCCGGUAGGAGAUUGUGUUGUAUCGAGAAUAACUGUGUCUGGAGAUAUCAUUUUUCUUCCCCAAGCCUGGCUGCUCCCCUGGUUUCUCAGGCUGGGAGUUACAAGUGGGGCUGGUUGGAGGAGAAACCUCCUUGCCGUUUUCUUGCUUCUUUAAAUGAGACUCCUCACUGUUCUCCUUCUUGAUUUCUAUCAACUGAACUUCGUCCUCUUCAGUGUCCUCCUCCUCUUCCGUUGUAUUUUCUCUCUCCUCCA
rnacentral:lncRNA from 1 species